ensembl:lncRNA
AUUAUUGUAUGUGUAAGCUCUUGUCCUGUCAAACAAUUCUCUGACCACUUCUUGUCUCAUGUACAGCAAAGCCUUGCGUACCCGGUCUCCAGCUUCGUGCUGCGGUGAGCUGCACCCUACUCUGAUCGAGUUUCUCUCUUCAAGGAGGGGAUUCCCCUUUCCAGAGGAUUUAUUUUCUGUUUUACCAAUUGAAAAGCUGAUCCCCCAGAGAGUGUAUUUGAGUUCUAUCUUUAUGCCAUCGAGCUCGGCUCGCAAUUUCUGUUGAACAUUAGAAACCCUUGUUUUGACUCCCCUCUGCGUUUGGAUCUAUUGCCGCCGGCCGUGACAGGCGAUUAGUGGUAAAAGGGCAGGGUUUACAGGUCGAACGUCCGUGCCGAAUAUGGAGGAACUGGCGUCUGCUGCAUGAGGGGCCAAGCUUCUGAAUUUCGGAAAAAAAAAGAGAAAGGGACUCCGCAAUAGUGUUGCGAUGCCAAGGAAUAUCAGCGGCACGUAGAAUGUAAUUUCGUGUGAAUGAAUACCAUGUUAGUUAGCAAAGAAAUGGCAUGAUUGAGUGUCCUCUUGAUUAUGUCGACUACGGGGAGGUUGUCUGAGUGGAUGAAGAUGGACUUGCGUGAAAACCACUACGUACGAGGAAUGAGAUUUUGUGUUUACUGGACAGGAUCCAGCAGAGUGCUUCUGAAAGGUCGUCGAAUAGUUUGGGACUGCUUUUGCAGCCGAAGGUGAGUAAUAUUCCUUCUGCCAUGCCGAAAAAACGCCAGAGUUAAUGCGGUAAAGGGGGAAUGGUGGUUGUGUGAAUGGGGCGAUCGUGAAACCUCCUUUCGCUUCCUUGGCGAGGAGCUGGUCGACUGCUUCUGGUUCUUUCAGGGCUGACUGUAGAUUUUUGCAAUCUAAAAGGGGUGGAUGGUUGAGUGACAAGUCACGGCUGGAAACCUUCGACGAGAAACUGCACGAACGUUGGAUCGGGGUGGUUUUUGAGAGCUACUCCUGGGAUAUUGAUAGGUGUUGAAAGAUGCUCGGUUAGAUCUGGUCAGAUCUGGGGUUGUGCGGGCAAGCCGGCCGGACGUGGCUUCCGCUGCAAAAGGAGCAUGUGUAGAAAAGAUAGGCUACGGCCGUUGACAUUGUUACAAAUUGGACAACCUCCGUGGAGGAAUUUGGGCCUGCCCCUUCUGUCAGUGCCGCUUGAUACAGGAAUUUAUAUGGAUGAGGUGACUGGUCUCUGCUUCAACUGUAUGGGGUCGGGGGCACUAGGCGUGACAAAGGUGAAUGUAUGUGUGGUUGCUCUCGCUUUAUGUGUGCAGGGAAGGAACUAGGAGCUGGCUGGGUUGGCCGGGCUUGGCAUAAGAUGCAUAUUUGCCACAUUCGGCAAUAGAUUUCAUUGUCAAUUUGUGCCCCAGUAUGUGCCUUUGUUGAACUGCUGAAAGCGGGCAGCUAGGCCAGGGUGAUUGGGGGUGCAGUGGGCCCCGGCUAGAACUAGCUGCUGCUGUUGAGGAUUAUGAGUGAAAGCCAGCAUCUCGCUGCUGGUAGCUCCGAAUGGCAUGGAUGGCCACUUAUGGUGUAAGAGGAAAGCGAGUCUGGCGUUCCGGUGCCUGAGGUCACGCCAAGCUGUUGUAAAGGCUGGGAGAGGGCGGUGGGGGGCGCUGGCAUCCCGGUGCCGUGAGCCCUGGCUAGAGCUAGCUGUUGCUGCAUUUGCCAGUUUGCAAGGAAUUGCCCUAGUAUCCCGGUGCUAGGUCCUCCUGCUAAUGCUGGAAGAGAAGGCAGCUGCUACUGGACGGUGAGUUGGGCUAAUGUUCUUUGCCUUUGACACAACAAAUGCUAAAUCUUUUGAACAAUGUCAGGGAUACAUCAAGGUUCCAAAAACAUUCUUUCUCCGGUGUGUUUCCCAACAUGUCAGAAGAUCACGUUGACUAGCACUGUAUCCUUUCGGGUAUGUAUAGUGAAGAUUGUGAAAUACAUUUCACAAUGUGAAACUGUUGUAAUGGCCAAAUAAAUAAAUAUGAACGAUGAAUCACUAUAUGAGGUUAAAUACAAUAUCUGAGUUAUAUGAGAAAUUACAACUCAAGCAUUAUCAUGGAUCUAGCAGUUAGUAUAAUAUUUACAUUAUUUGGAAUGAUCAAAGUAGUUGAUUCUUCAAUAAAAAGUCAACUAAACAAAACAAAAGAUGAUAUACAGUAUCUUCUUGCUAAAAAAAAAGCUAAAGCUCAGUCAGAUUGGAUAGAAACUGGCUGUGAACAGUAAUUUAAAAAUCUUGCAAAUGUGACUUGUGAAGUCGGUCGCACCAGAUCUUUGUUAGGGGUUUUACACUAAAGGGAUCGAAUAGAUAUGCACAAAUCAUUGUAAAUCAUUUUGAAGUCCAUGUCAAUUUUCCCCCAACUUCCAGAUAAUACAGUCUAUUUUGUGUUGGUCAACUACAUAAAAUCAUUACAUGAAAUCAAUCUGUGGUUAUAUCAUUUCAAAUAUGGAAAGGUCCAAGGGUGGGUGAAUUAUGUUUGCAAGGCACUAUAACAGACAAAACAGUGUCUAUAUUGGCAGCCUUAGACCACACAAAUAAGCACGAAAACAUACAGUAAGACUGAAAAUCACAAUUUAUAUUACAUGAAAUGCUAUUUUUAGUCAAGAUGCAGCUUAUAUGGUCCCGCAAAUUUGCAAAGGGACACAAGUCUUAGUCUACAAGUUUGAUUUUGGAGCACCAAGGAAAUUGAUUGAAAGCAUUAUUUAUUUUUAAUUAACAGUACUGGAUGGAUUUUUACACCAAAAAUUGCUUUAAUAUAUUGAUUUAUUGGGAGAAAUCCAUGCCCAAUCAGACACCCAGCAAUCCUUGUACAGCCGGAUUGGAAUGCUUUUUUGUCUUGGUUUCAAGAACACAUUUGACCACAGCAGUGAGAAGAGAAGUCAAUUUGGGCUCCUUAGAUUGAAUUGUCAAAUAAUUGUUUGUUUAAACCGUUCAUGUCGCCAUUGCAAUGGCAAAAACAGUGACCAAUUCAUAAAAACUGGACUGUAUGUACAAUUGUGUCUGUGUGCAAUAAAUCUCUGGGAUUGUACUUUCUGUCUGUACCACGUCUUAAAUGGAGGCCUAAUUAUGCUUUUCAAACCAGAUUUAAUCUGAGAUUAUCCCACAUAUUAUAUUCUGUUGUGAACAUUUUGUAGUUUGCCUUGAUGUUAAAAAGGCCCAUCCUCCGUCUAUUACUGGAACCUUCAAUAAAUAAGACGCACAUUCAGCACCAUCUGCUUUGUAGCAGAGAUGCACAGCAGUCAACAAUGAGGAAUUUUUGUGCUGGUCAAAUCCCUGGUGGGGCUCAUUUGCAGUUUUGGGAUUGCUUACUGCAAACCAAGCUUGCAUGAUCAGCACAACAGACCUGUAUGGAUUAAAUAACCUUUUCUGUCAUUAUUACAUUACAGGUCAUUUUGGCUGACACUUUUUUAUCCAAAGCGACUUACAUUACAUUAUCAACCCAUGGCUUUUUUGCCCGGGGAGGAAUUACGGGUUAGGUGUCUUGCUCCGUCACUGAUGAGGCUGAUCACCGUUGUGUCCUCUGAGAACAUCAGGGUUUUGACAGUUGGGUCCUCCGAUGUGUGGAGAGGUGUGCACGAUGAGCUGUGAAAUUUUAAAUAUGGUUUCCAGGUUUCCAGAAACCAAAUCCUUGCAUAUGUAUAUGGGAUGUGAGGUGAUGCAGCAUGUGGCACAGUCUCAUUUGGACUGCAUCACCCACCGACCUGUUUGCCCUGUAGGCAAACUGCAUGGGGCCCAGCAGGGGCCCUGUAAUGUUCUGCAGGUGAGCUGAAUGUCACCACGCACAUCAUUCUCCUUCAGUUUGAUGCUGCUUCUGUCACGGUUUUGGUUUGUUUCCGGUUUUAUUUUGUAGUUUUCUGCCUCUUGUGUCCCUGGGUUACUUCACUUCCUGCCUUGUCCUGUCAUCCCAUGUGAUUGUCUGCCGUGUCCCAGGUUGUUUUCACCUGCACCUCCCCAGUGUAUUUAAGCCCUGUGUGUCUUUCGUCCCUGGUCGCAUCAUUGAAUGUUCUACGUGAAUGUCUUGCCUGUUCCUGGUCCCUGUCGGCGUUUUGCCCCUCGGCAGUUAGAUUUUUUGAAUUAAUAAAGUAAGUUUUGUUGUCUGAAUUUGGGUCCUGCUUCUGCUUACCCUGUUCGUGACAGCUUCCUCCUAAUCACCAGUCUGCACCCUGAAUAAAUUAAAUCCUCGUUGGCCCGCACUGCAUGCUGGGAUAUGCUGGGACACAAAGGAUCGGCUCCUGGAGGACUGUGUCCAUCGACCGCGUUGGGGGGAGCCGACGCAUUGGGACAGGCGAGUCGCAGCUGAAGCGACGUAUGCGGUCGACGAAUGAGUCCUUAAGGAUGCGGCCUAGCAACUUUGAGACACAGCUAAUAACUCAACAAAGGUCAAAGCGGCUUAAAUACACUGGGAGGGUGCAGGUGAAUCGACACAAGAAAGAAACUAUCAGGGACACGGCAGACAAUCGCAGGACAAGGCAGGAAGUGAAGCUAACUCAGGGAUACAAAAGGCAGGAAACUAAAAAAUAACUUUGAGGAGUUGAAACCCGGGUAGCGCGUUGUCCGAGAUGUGCUCACUGAGCUAAGUUUCCAUGGAGCACAGGGGGGCGGAUCUGCUGAAGACUGUGAGCUUUGUUGAGGAGCAGAAGUUACUCCAUUUUGUUGGUCAUAGAGCGAACGUUAGCCAGAUGAAUUGAGGGGAGCGCAUUUCUGAAUCUACGUCAACGCAGUUUAACAAAGGCUCCGGAUCGUUUACCCCGUCAGUGUCUCUGGCAAAUCCCAAGCAGAGCAGCUUCUCACCCAACCAAAAGCUCUAUGAAACUUUUCGGUAUGAUGAAAUACGGUGAAAAAGUUUGACCAGUAUAUUGUUCAAUGUUCUUGCUGCGUCUUUCGGCGGGUACUGCCAGCUGAAUGUGAUCAGAGAGGGAGAGCUGGAUCAUUUUGGUGCUGUGUGCAAAAAUAUCUUUUUGCUUCUGCUGCUGUGGGUAGCUGGAAAAUAAUCAAAAAAGCAGCUUGGAUGAUACAAAAACAAAAAAAGGUCAGCAUAUUUAACUCAGACACAAACUUUUUUUCAUAUCAAAAUGUAUUUAAGAGAAUAAAAAAAACAAUAACUUAUCUGUGAUAGUUGCAUGUACGUCAAUAUGAAUCAAAAAGUCCAAAGGUUGGAUGGGCAUUGCCAGAUAUCAGACGUAGCUAUUGCCUGGUAAUGUCUUCCACUUCUGUAUGGCACUGGAAUAUGCUUUUACCUGACAAAUGACCACAGACCAGCGGAGCCACCUGAACCUGACACGCUUUCUGUGUAAAAAAAAGAAGUGAGGCCAGUUGGGAAGGGAAGGCUGUAGUCACUGCAAAGACGGUCACGGCCAUUCGUGAACCAAGCUUUAAGUGACGUUUGUGUGUGUGGUGUACGCUCCCCCCCCAAGAAUCCGCACCGUGACAGUGGCGGCCAACGUAGCGGGAGGACGACAAUGGAAGGCGACGAGCGGCAGCAGGGGAUACCGGCCCAGCCGAUCUUGGCGCUGGGAUGGAUGAUCGGCGAGCUGGCGGCCAUCCAGCGCGACCAGGCUGAGGCUAACCGACAGUUCCUGGGGGCGCUCCAAGCCCAGGUGGGGAGACAGGCUCUGGGUUUCGGUUUCGGCAGACUAGGUUGGAGCCAGAGGACCGGCCGUUCGCGUACGGGCAGCGGCUCAAGGACGCCGCGAGCAGAUGGCUGCUGGCUAACGGCGACGGGGGAGUGGAAGCCGUGAUGGAGAAGGUGGUGUUUGCGGUUUGCGGAGGGGCUCCCGACCCGGACGGCAGCGUGGGUGAAAUACCACCGCCCGCCGACCCUCAAGCUGCCAUCACCCUUGCAGAGGAUCACCUGGCGGUGCACCCCGACAGACAGCGGGACCAGGGGGGUACGCCAUCCCCGGCCCGACCAGCGCAACGGGGAGGGGGGCAGCAGCAGCCGGCGGAGCGACCCGUGCCGACCCCACGACGGACAUCGUUCCUCCCGGCUCCGCUACUCACCGACCCCAGAGAGCACCGACGCCCUUCCAGGUGGCCGGAGGUUCCAAAAGCAGGCCGGACCGACCUCAUAGUACACAGUAUCGAGACGCCCCCGGGCGUGACAGCGAGGUCACGACCCUACAGGUUGCCCGAACACAAGAAAGAAGUGGUUCGGAGAGAAUUGGUCGACGAGCUCCUGGACCGGCUAGGCACUGCACGUUUCUUCACGACACUGGAUUUAACCAAGGGCUACAGGCAGAUUCCUCUGUCGCCAGAGUCCAAGGAGAAAACGGCAUUCUCCACCCCGUACGGUUUGUACCAUUUUACCACACUUCCCUUCGGGUUGUUUGGGGCCCACGUUUCAGUGCCUCAUGGAUCGGGUGCUGCGUCCGCACGCUGCAUAUGCCGCCGCCUACCUCGACGAAGUCAUUGUCCACAGCACCACCUGGGAGGAGCAUGUGCGGCAGGUGGGCGCAGUGCUGGAGCGGGCGGGGCUCACCGCCAACCCGGGGAAGUGCAGAGUUGGACGGGUGGAGGUACGGUAUUUGGGGUACCACUUGGGGGGCGGGCAGGUGCGCCCUCAGGUGGACAAGACUGCAGCCAUCGCGGCCUGCCCGCGGCCCAAGACAAAAAAAGAGGUGAGGCGGUUCUUGGGGCUGGCGGGGUAUUACAGGCAGUUCAUCCCCGGCUUCGCGGACCUCACCAGCCCCUUGACCGACCUCACCCUCACCCAGAUCCGGUCCAGUGGUCGGAGCAGUGCCAGCAGGCGUUUGAGAAGGUAAAACAGACUCUCUGUGGGGAACCACUCCUCCAUACUCCUAACUUCUCUCUCCCCUUUAUUCUGCAGACCGACUCGUCGAACAGGGGGCCGUUUUGUCCCAGGAGGUGGGGGGGGGGGGUUGACCGCCCCGUUGUGUACAUCAGCCGGAAGCUGUCCGAGGAGGAGGCCCGGUACAGCACGGUGGAAAAGGAGUGCCUGGCCAUCCGGUGGGCGGUCGACUCCCUACGCUACUUCCUCCUGGGACGCUCAUUCACCCUCUGUUCGGACCACGCCCUGCUCCAAUGGCUCCACCGCGUGAAAGAUGCCCACGCCCGGAUCACUCGGUGGUAUCUGGCUCUACAGCCUUUUAAUUUCAAGGUGGGCCAUAGGCC